ensembl:lncRNA
AUGUCCACAUGUGACUGGGUCUGCCAGGGUUGCUGAAGGAGUGGCCAGAGACUAUAAAAGACCCAGGCGGCUGUCCCAGCUUUAGAGUAACGGUCAGCCCAAGGUCUCCUUCUGUCCACCACAUCCUCUGGAAUAUUUAGAGUAUCAUAUCUACAAAGAAGAGCAUCUGGUUGUUCUUACUUUUGACUGCUGCAUUUUGGAUACAUGACUUUUUUCAUUAUGUCGUGGCUCUGAACCCAUGGGUUAAGACCUUUAGCUGAUGGCUAGACAACACCCUGUACUACAGGAUCAAGACCUUUAGCUGAUGGCUAGACAACACCCUAUACUACAGGAUCAAGACCUUUAGCUGAUGGCUGGACAACACCCUGUACUACAGGAUCAAGACCUUUAGCUGAUGGCUAGACAACACCCUAUACUACAGGAUCAAGAUCUUUAGCUGAUGGCUGGACAACACCCUGUACUACAGGAUCAAGACCUUUAGCUGAUGGCUAGACAACACCCUAUACUACAGGAUCAAGACCUUUAGCUGAUGGCUAGACAACACCCUGUACUACAGGAUCAAGACCUUUAGCUGAUGGCUAGACAACACCCUAUACUACAGGAUCAAGACCUUUAGCUGAUGGCUGGACAACACCCUGUACUACAGGAUCAAGACCUUUAGCUGAUGGCUGGACAACACCCUGUACUACAGGAUCAAGACCUUUAGCUGAUGGCUAGACAACACCCUGUACUACAGGAUCAAGACCUUUAGCUGAUGGUUUGUGGUGUGCUGUAUUGCUGUCCUUGUGACUGGUUUCACUUCACAUGUGCACACAGAGAAACAGUUAAAUCACGUUUCUCAAGGGUGUUGACUUUUAUUUGGGUGUGAAUGUAUUAAUGGAUCCCGUGAUAAAGCUUUUAUAGCACUGUUUUAUGGAUAGACUCAAAUGUUAACCACUUUGAUCCAUUGCCAAUUCUGCCUUAAUAAUCUCUGCCAUUUCUAAUUCCCAAGUUUAUAUUUGUGAUCUUUUUCUCUGAUGGAAAGGCAAGACAUGAGACAUUACUAAACUGUUUUUAGAUACUGUUGCUGUGACAACGUGGAUUGACUGUGGUCAUGAAAAGGUAUGGUCACCAACUGUGAUACACUGCAAAGAGUUUACUAAAGCAAGAAAAGUAUAUUCUGACAUAAUGUCAAGUCUCCACGCAGAGGAAAUUUUUUGAUAGAAGUGAAAGUAGCUCGAACAUAACUUUGAAGAAGACCUUUUGUCCUAGAAGAGGUAGCAGAAGUGCUGUGGUCAGCUGUGUGGUUAGGUAUAUCUGCUGUGCUCCACUGCCAAUAUAAAAGUACUCCUGACCUCUGCCCUGUCAGUGCACUCUCUGUAGGGGUCACAUGGUUGUUCCCCUAUUGAAACACCAGCCGAAUGAGUGGCGGUGUAACCAUGGUGGAUCUUCUGUGCUUCGUUAUAAUCUAUGGAAUACCAGCAUACCACAAGUGUAACUCAUCUGUGACACACCCCAUUUUCUAUCCAAAGAGGGAGCUAAAAGGAGGCUUCAGGAUUACCCUUCAUUUAUUCCCUGAGGGAGAUGUUGCAUGUGAUAGUGUGAAGGUGUGUGUGUGUGCCAAACGCCAGGCUGUGUGUUAAUGAGUGUGUGUGUAACCCCUCUGUAGUUUAGCUGUCUUAUUUUUCUUGUCUAGAAUGACUGCCGAAUUCUCCCCAUCCAGAGGAACCCGCUGCUGUUGGCAGGAAGAGGUUGUGUGUGUGCGUGCACAUCCAUUUACAUGGGUGCCUGCGUGCAUUCCUUUUUGUGUGUUUUAUGCGCAUGCUUGUUUGUGUGCAUGCAUGCAUUCCUGUGUGUGUGUGUGUGUGUGUGUGUGUGUGUCUGAGUGUCAGGGCAGAGGCUUCUGGCUCCAGUACGUCGUAUCAAUUCCCAGGGGCCCAGUCCCAGUCCUGGCCCCAGGCUCAGCUCCACUAGUACUGCCAUGCCCUCAAACCCUUGGAAAGCCCUCUUCCUGCCGUAAAUGUCAUGGGCCUCCUUAACAAGAAAUAUGAAUGCAUGAAGCCAAAUGAUACAAUCUCAAAGCAUCAGCCAGCGUCGCUUCAUACCUUGUAUCUCUCCAUUUAUGACCACUUUCCAUCCGGG